rnacentral:rRNA from 1 species
AUUGAACGCUGGCGGCAGGCUUAACACAUGCAAGUCGAGCGGGGGAGGGUGCUUGCACCUUAGCUUAGCGGCGGACGGGUGAGUAAUGCUUAGGAAUCUGCCUAUUAGUGGGGGGCAACAUUCCGAAAGGAAUGCUAAUACCGCAUACGCCCUACGGGGGAAAGCAGGGGAUCUUCGGACCUUGCGCUACUAGAUGAGCCUAAGUCGGAUUAGCUAGUUGGUGGGGUAAAGGCCUACCAAGGCGACGAUCUGUAGCGGGUCUGAGAGGAUGAUCCGCCACACUGGGACUGAGACACGGCCCAGACUCCUACGGGAGGCAGCAGUGGGGAAUAUUGGACAAUGGGCGGAAGCCUGAUCCAGCCAUGCCGCGUGUGUGAAGAAGGCCUUUUGGUUGUAAAGCACUUUAAGCGAGGAGGAGGCUACUAGUACUAAUACUACUGGAUAGUGGACGUUACUCGCAGAAUAAGCACCGGCUAACUCUGUGCCAGCAGCCGCCGCGGUAA